rnacentral:rRNA from 1 species
UACGGAGGAUGCAAGCGUUAUCCGGAAUCAUUGGGCGUAAAGCGUCCGCAGGUGGCUGGACAAGUCUGCUGUCAAAGACUGGAGCUUAACUCCAGAGAGGCAGUGGAAACUGUCAAGCUAGAGUACGGUAGGGGUAGAGGGAAUUCCCAGUGUAGCGGUGAAAUGCGUAGAGAUUGGGAAGAACACCAGUGGCGAAGGCGCUCUACUGGGCCGUAAAUGACUCUCAGGGACGAAAGCUAGGGGAGCGAAAGGG